GAUGAACGCUGGCGGCGUGCCUAAUACAUGCAAGUCGAGCGAACAGACGAGGAGCUUGCUCCUCUGACGUUAGCGGCGGACGGGUGAGUAACACGUGGAUAACCUACCUAUAAGACUGGGAUAACUUCGGGAAACCGGAGCUAAUACCGGAUAAUAUAUUGAACCGCAUGGUUCAAUAGUGAAAGACGGUUUUGCUGUCACUUAUAGAUGGAUCCGCGCCGCAUUAGCUAGUUGGUAAGGUAACGGCUUACCAAGGCAACGAUGCGUAGCCGACCUGAGAGGGUGAUCGGCCAAACUGGAACUGAGACACGGUCCAGACUCCUACGGGAGGUAGCAGUAGGGAAUCUUCCGCAAUGGGCGAAAGCCUGACGGAGCAACGCCGCGUGAGUGAUGAAGGUCUUCGGAUCGUAAAACUCUGUUAUUAGGGAAGAACAAAUGUGUAAGUAACUAUGCACGUCUUGACGGUACCUAAUCAGAAAGCCACGGCUAACUACGUG
rnacentral:rRNA from 1 species